rnacentral:rRNA from 1 species
UAAGAAUUCUUUAUUUUUAUUUUUAUUUUGUUUUCUUUUCUAAAAAUAAUUUUAUUUCUAGUAACUUUUUGAGUAAAUGAUUUUUAUUAUAGUUUAUUGUACUGUAAAGGGUUAGUUUUAUUAUUAUGGAAGUAGAAUUAAUUUUGUACCUUUUGCAUCAGGGUUUAUUAAUUUUAUAAUAUGUAUAUUAUUAUUCCCGAAAUUAAGGGAGAUACUUUAUUAUGACUUUCUUUGUAACAAAAUGGUGGUUAAUUGUAAGGUAGAGGUGAUAUGCUAUUCAACCUUAAAUAUCUGGUUACUUGGGAAUUGCAUUUAAUGCAGGAAGAUAUUUGUUUUUUAAACUUUGAUUUGUCUUGUAAUAUUUUCUUAAACUUUUAGGGAUAAGCUUGAGAGUUGAAUUAAAACGUCUCCUUUAUAAAGAAUUAUUUAUAGGUUUAGAAACGUCCAUUUAAAUCGUUACAGUUAAGUUCUUAUGUUUUAUUUAUUUAAAGUGUGUUUAAUUUAUUACUAAGUAGGGUUUUGUAAUUUUAGUUGAUGGGUUUUUAUGAUAAAAUUAGUAAGUGUUUAUUUAUAGUUUAGGAAUUCGGCAACUUUACUUUCCGCCUGUUUAACAAAAACAUGUCCUAUUGUAUAUAAUUUUAGGUCGGACCUGCCCAAUGAAUAGGAUUAAAUGGCCGCAGUAUCCUGACUGUGCAAAGGUAGCAUAAUCAAUUGUCUUUUAAUUGAAGGCUUGGAUGAAGGGUUUGACGAGAAAGAUUCUAUCUUAACUGUAUUAAAUUGAAUUUAAUGUUUUAGUUAAAAAGCUAAAAUGUUAUUGUGGGACGAGAAGACCCUAUAGAAUUUUACUUUUGAUAUUAUUUAAUAGAUUAGGUUGUAUAUUACUAUUAAAUAUUAUCAUAGGUUUUGCUGGGGUGGCGGGGUGAUUUGAAUAACUCACUUUUAUUGGUUUCAUUGAUUUAUGUGUUUAAUUGAUCCUGCAAUGUGGAUUUUAAGAUUAAAUUACCUUAGGGAUAACAGCGUAAUUCUUAUGGAGAGUUCAUAUUGAUAUAAGAGUUUGCGACCUCGAUGUUGGAUUAAAGUAAGUGUUGGGUGCAGUUGCUCAAUUACUAGGUCUGUUCGACCUAUAAUUCUUUACAUGAUCUGAGUUCAGACCGGCGUGAGCCAGGUUGGUUUCUAUCUACAAUGGUUGGCUACUGCUCAGUACGAAAGGACCUGCAGUUGGGAAUAAUUCUGUUGAAUGUGAUUGAUACU